AGCACCGGCUAACUACGUGCCAGCAGCCGCGGUAAUACGUAGGGUGCAAGCGUUAUCCGGAAUUAUUGGGCGUAAAGGGCUCGUAGGCGGUUCGUCGCGUCCGGUGUGAAAGUCCAUCGCUUAACGGUGGAUCCGCGCCGGGUACGGGCGGGCUUGAGUGCGGUAGGGGAGACUGGAAUUCCCGGUGUAACGGUGGAAUGUGUAGAUAUCGGGAAGAACACCAAUGGCGAAGGCAGGUCUCUGGGCCGUCACUGACGCUGAGGAGCGAAAGCGUGGGGAGCGAACAGGAUUAGAUACCCUGGUAGUCCACGCCGUAAACGGUGGAUGCUGGAUGUGGGGACCAUUCCACGGUCUCCGUGUCGGAGCCAACGCGUUAAGCAUCCCGCCUGGGGAGUACGGCCGCAAGGCUAAAACUCAAAGAAAUUGACGGGGGCCCGCACAAGCGGCGGAGCAUGCGGAUUAAUUCGAUGCAACGCGAAGAACCUUACCUGGGCUUGACAUGUUCCCGACAGCCCCAGAGAUGGGGCCUCCCUUCGGGGCGGGUUCACAGGUGGUGCAUGGUCGUCGUCAGCUCGUGUCGUGAGAUGUUGGGUUAAGUCCCGCAACGAGCGCAACCCUCGCCCUGUGUUGCCAGCACGUCGUGGUGGGAACUCACGGGGGACCGCCGGGGUCAACUCGGAGGAAGGUGGGGAUGACGUCAGAUCAUCAUGCCCCUUACGUCCAGGGCUUCACGCAUGCUACAAUGGCCGGUACAACGGGAUGCGACACCGCGAGGUGGAGCGGAUCCCUUAAAACCGGUCUCAGUUCGGAUUGGAGUCUGCAACCCGACUCCAUGAAGGCGGAGUCGCUAGUAAUCGCGGAUCAGCAACGCCGCGGUGAAUGCGUUCCCGGGCCUUGUACACACCGCCCGUCAAGUCAUGAAAGUGGGUAGCACCCGAAGCCGGUGGCCCAACCUUUUUGGGGGGAGCCGUCUAAGGUGAGACUCGUGAUUGGGACUAAGUCGUAACAAGGUAGCCGUACCGGAAGGUGCGGCUG
rnacentral:rRNA from 1 species